AGAGUUUGAUCCUGGCUCAGGAUAAACGCUGGCGGCGUGCCUAAUGCAUGCAAGUCGAACGGGCGCGGGUUUCCCGCGUGACCGUGGCGGACGGGUGAGGAGCACGUAGCUAACCUGCCCUGGUAUGGGGGAUAGCCUCCGGAAACGGAGUGUAAUACCGCAUGGCCUCAGUUGGAGGGAUCUGGCUGAGGAAAGGAGUAAUCCGUACCAGGAGGGGGCUGCUUCCGAUUAGUUGGUUGGUGGGGUAACGGUUCACCAAGGCGAUGAUCGGUUGCUGGUCUGAGAGGAUGAUCAGCCCCACGGGGACUCAGACACGGCCCCGACUCCUCCGGGAGGCAGCAGUAAGGAAUUUUCCACCAUGGGGGCAACCCUGACGGAGCAACCCCCCGUGGGGGAUGACGCACUUCCGUGUGUAAACCCCUUCUCUAGGGG
rnacentral:rRNA from 1 species